AGUAGGGCGGGACACGUGAAAUCCUGUCUGAACAUGGGGGGACCACCCUCCAAGCCUAAGUACUCCUUGGUGACCGAUAGUGAACAAGUACCGUGAGGGAAAGGUGAAAAGUACCCCGAUGAGGGGAGUGAAAUAGCGCCUGAAACCGAAUGCUUACAAUCUGUGGGAGCUCCCUUGAGGAGUGACCGCGUACCUUUUGUAUAAUGGGUCAGCGACUUGGUCUUACGAGCAAGCUUAAACCGGUAGGUGUAGGCGCAGCGAAAGCGAGUCUUAAUAGGGCGACAAGUUCGUAGGAUCAGACCCGAAACCGAGUGAUCUAGCUAUGAGCAGGCUGAAGGUGCGGUAACACGCACUGGAGGGCCGAA
rnacentral:rRNA from 1 species